AAGUCGUAACAAGGUAACCGUAGGUGAACCUGCGGUUGGAUCAUUAAUGAAUCAACUAUUGGUUAUGAGUUUAAUGGCUGUAAGGCCGUUAAGCGAUUAACCUAAACCCCAAACCUGCGCCUGUCUUACCAUUAAUACUGGUAAGGCAGAUGAAAAAUCCGAGUAUCCUGGGCAACCAGAUCAUACUUGAUACAAACAUUUAUUCAAUUCUUUUUCAAUAACUAAAAAUUAAUGAAAAAACAACUUUUGACAACGGAUCUCUUGGCUCUC
rnacentral:misc_RNA from 1 species